AACGGUCUAUACCUGCGGUACCUGCGGAAGGAUCAUUACCGAGUGAGGGCCCUCUGGGUCCAACCUCCCACCCGUGUUUAUCGUACCUUGUUGCUUCGGCGGGCCCGCCGCAAGGCCGCCGGGGGGCUUCCGCCCCCGGGCCCGCGCCCGCCGAAGACACCUGUGAACGCUGUAUGAAGAUUGCAGUCUGAGCGAAAAGCUAAAUUUAUUAAAACUUUCAGCAAUGGAUCUCUAGAUCGG
rnacentral:misc_RNA from 1 species